rnacentral:rRNA from 1 species
CCUACGGGAGGCAGCAGUAAGGAAUAUUGGUCAAUGGAGGCAACUCUGAAACCAGCCAUGCCGCGUGAAGGAUUAAGGCCCUCUGGGUUGUAAACUUCUUUUAUAUGGGAAGAAACUCACGCAUUCCUGCGUGAUUGACGGUACCAUAGGAAUAAGCACCGAGCUAACUCCGUGCCAGCAGCCGCGGUAAUACGGAGGGUGCAAGCGUUAUCCGGAUUCACUGGGUUUAAAGGGUGCGUAGGCGGGCAGAACAGUCAGUGGUGAAAUCUCCGGGCUUAACCCGGAAACUGCCGUUGAUACUAUUCGUCUUGAAUAUUGCGGAGGUAAGCGGAAUAUGUCAUGUAGCGGUGAAAUGCAUAGAUAUGACAUGGAACACCAAUUGCGAAGGCAGCUUACUACACAAUUAUUGACGCUGAUGCACGAAAGCGUGGGUAGCGAACAGGAUUAGAUACCCUGGUAGUCCACGCCCUAAACGAUGAUUACUCGACAUACGCGAUACACAGUGUGUGUCCAAGCGAAAGCAUUAAGUAAUCCACCUGGGAAGUACGACCGCAAGGUUGAAA